AGAAACCAACAGGGAUUGCCCUAGUAACGGCGAGUGAAGCGGCAACAGCUCAAAUUUGAAAUCUGGCGCAAGCCCGAGUUGUAAUUUGUAGAGGAUGCUUCAGGGCAGCGGCCGGUCUAAGUUCCUUGGAACAGGACGUCAUAGAGGGUGAGAAUCCCGUAUGCGACCGGUUGGCACCCGUCACGUAGCUCCUUCGACGAGUCGAGUUGUUUGGGAAUGCAGCUCUAAAUGGGAGGUAAAUGCCUUCUAAAGCUAAAUACCGGCCAGAGACCGAUAGCGCACAAGUAGAGUGAUCGAAAGAUGAAAAGCACUUUGGAAAGAGAGUUAAAAAGCACGUGAAAUUGUUGAAAGGGAAGCGCAUGCAACCAGACUUGCCGGCGGUGUUCAACCGGUCUUCUGACCGGUCUACUCGCCGCCGGCAGGCCAACAUCAUUUGGGAGCGCCGGAUAAAGGUGGGAGGAAUGUGGCCCCUCGGGGUGUUAUAGCCUCCUACGCAAUACGGCGCCUCCCGAGUGAGGUCCGCGCUUCGGCUAGGAUGUUGGCGUAAUGGUUGUCUGCGGCCCGUCUUGAAACACGGACCAAGGAGUCUAACAUCUAUGCGAGUGUUCGGGUGUCAAACCCCUACGCGUAAUGAAAGUGAACGGAGGUGGGAACUUUUUGUGCACCAUCGACCGAUCCUGAUGUCUUCGGAUGGAUUUGAGUAAGAGCAUAGCUGUUGGGACCCGAAAGAUGGUGAACUAUGCCUGAAUAGGGUGAAGCCAGAGGAAACUCUGGUGGAGGCUCGCAGCGGUUCUGACGUGCAAAUCGAUCGUCAAAUUUGGGUAUAGGGGCGAAAGACUAAUCGAACC
rnacentral:rRNA from 1 species